rnacentral:lncRNA from 1 species
AACUCUAGCAAUUAUCUGUCUGUGUGCCUUCACUGUUUUGGAGGAGGCUAUGCCAGAUGAGGAAGAAAAGUGUUCUAGGAAUACCUCUGGAUUAUGUGCACCAAAGAAUGUCAGCUUACUCCCAGUUUUCCCUAUCUGAUGGAUUUCUGCUCCAUGAAUACACAAUGAUGUGUAAGAACUGGAAAGAACAAAGCCCAAGAAAGUCCCCAAAUGGAUCCAUUUCCUCAGGAUGUUGUUUCCAUUCAGAAAAACCAGGGGCCUCAAUACAGU